rnacentral:lncRNA from 1 species
CGCAGGAAGUGUCUUCCAUGUCUUCUCUCUCGUCCUUCUUUUCUGCUGUGUUCCGCUUGUUCUUUUACUCAUCUUUUUGGUCUACAGGGCUGGCGUAAUGGCACAAGUGAGAACCUGGUGAGUGAAGGGGGUGCGUCAGCAUCAGACCCCCCGGGGAGCAGCAGAGAUCAGCUGUGACCAGACGGCCCGUACCACCCAGAGCCCCUACCCCAACUGCAGCAUCCCUAUCCUAGCAGGACAUCGUGUCCAGACAGCACGUCGACCUCUGACAUGUACACUGCGUACAGUGUUCUGAAGGUACCAGGUGGAAAGCAGGUUCUUUCACCAAGCCAUCCAAUCAGAAACAAAGAUGGACACACUGGACACACACAGCAACAUGAAGUCAACUAUGCCUCGCUGCAAUUCAGGGGCCAGGAGAUGGGUAGCUUGGGUCCUAGAGACCAAGCGAGAGAGGGUGACGUCUAUGCUAAGGAUGCCAAGCCAAAGCUGAAGGAAAAGACUGAUAAGUGCGAUGACUACGAGAACAUUAAGGAAGUGUGUGCUUCGAAGCCCACCAUCGAGCCAAACAUGGACACGGAGACAGGGAGCAGUGAGGAUGACGUGGAGAUCAGCUACUCUGAGGUCACGUUCAGAGCAAAGCCAAGACACGAGACAGUCUGUAGUUCUGACCCUCGCCACCGCAGAGCAGGCCACAGCAGCAGCUCAGAUGAAGAAGACUACACAACCCAGUAUACUGAUGUUAAAAUAUCAGAGGAAGUUUCAUUCAUAGUCAAAAAAAGUAUAAAGGUUUAUUUGUAAAUAUCUGUAAAUAUUUGUAUCACACCCAGUCAAAAGUGUGGACACACCUACUCAUUCAAGGGUUUUUCUUUAUUUUGACUAUUUUCUACAUUGUAGAAUUAUAGCGAAGACAUCAAAAUUAUGAAAUAACACAUAUGGAAUCAUGUAGUAACCAAAAAAGUGUUAAACAAUUAUAGCAAUUAUAAACAAUUAUAACAAUAUAUGUUAUAUAUCACAUUCUUCAAAGUAGCCACCCUUUGCCUUGAUGACAGCUUUGCACACGCUUGGCAUUCUCUCAACCAGUUUCAUGAGGUAGUCACCUGAUGUGCAUUUCAAUUAACAGGUUGUGCCUUGUUAAAAGUUAAUUUGUGGAAUUUCUUUCCUUCUUAAUGCGUUUCAGCCAAUCAGUUGUGUUGUGACAAGGUAGGGGUGGUAUACAGAAGAUAGCCCUAUUUGAUAAAAGACCAAGUCCAUAUAAUGGCAAGAAAAGCUCAAAUAAGCAAAGAGAAAUUGCAGUCCAUCAUUAAUUUAAGACACGAAGUUCAUUCAAUCUGGAAAAUUUCAAGAACUUUGAAAGUUUCUUAAAGUGCAGUUGCAAAACCAUCAAGCGCUAUGAUGAAACUGGCUCUCAUGAGGACCGCCACAGGAAAGGAGACCCAGAGUUACCUCUGCUGCAGAGGAUAAGUUGAUAAGUAGAGUUAACUGCACCUCACAUCACAGCCCAAAUAAAUGCUUCACAGAGUUCAAGUAACAGACACAUCUCAACAUCAACCGUUCAGAGGAGACUGUAUGAAUCAGGCUUUCAUGGUCGAAUUGCUGCAAAGAAACCACUACUAAAAGACACCAAUAAGAAGAAGAAACUUGCUUGGCCAAGAAACACGAGCAAUGCACAUUAGACCGGUGGAAAUCUGUCAUUUGGUCUGAUGAGUCCAAAUUUUAGAUUUUUGGUUCCAACCACUGUGUCUUUGAGACACAGAGUAGGUGAACGGAUGAUCGCCGCGUGUGUGGUUCCCACCGUGAAGCAUGGAGUAGGAGGUGUGAUGGUGUGGGGGUGCUUUGCUGGUGACACUGUCACUGAGUUAUUUAGAAUUCAAGUCACACUUAACCAGCAUGGCUACCACAGCAUUCUGCAGCGAUACACCAUCCCAUCUGGUUUGCGCUUAGCUGGUCAAUCAUUUGUUUUUCAACAGGACAAUGACCCAAAACACACCUCCAGGCUGUGUAAGGGCUAUUUGACCAAUAAGGAGAGUGAUGGAGUGCUGCAUCAGAUGACCUGGCCUCCACAAUCACCCAACCUCAACCAAAUUGAGAUGGUUUGGGAUGAGUUGGACUGCAGAGUGAAGGAAAAGCAGCCAACAAGUGCUCAGUAUAUGUGGGAACUCCUUCAAGACUGUUGGAAAAGCAUUCCUCAUGAAGCUGGUUGAGAGAAUUCCAAGAGUGUACAAAGCUGCCAUCAAGGCAAAGGAUGGCUACUUUGAAGGAUAUAAAAUAUAUUUUCAACACCUUUUUUGGUUACUACAUGAUUCCAAAUGUGUUAUUUCAUAGUUUUGAUGUCUUCACUAAUAUUCAACAAUGUAGAAAAUAGUAAAAAUAAAGAAAACCCCUUGAAUGAGUAGGUGUGGCCAAACUUUUGACUAGUGCUUUAUAUCUGGAUUGUUAGCAAUAAAAACACAUUCAAGUAUCGGUAGUUGCCUUAACUGUACUUUUAAAUUAUAAGUCAGUCAACACCAAAAUGUCAGGAAACAGAAUUUAUUGACGUCAUUCAAAGUGGGUUUGAACAUCGUGUGGUACAUCAAUGCAAUGUGUGCUUACUUGGCUGUCAAAAUAGAAAUGCUUCACUGUUUAGGAAUUUCCCAUAUUUCAGGAUGUGCUAUUGUGUAGAUGCUAUGCAACUGGCACCAUGUUUUAAUAUUUGUUCAACAUUGUAAUGUGUGUCAUUACUGACUUCUUACUUUACAUAAUUACUGAAUCAUGCUGAAAUUACUGACUGCUUGUAACCUGUAUUCACCUGUAUUCAUUGUAAAUACAUUAACAAAAAAUAAAUAUACAAUAACAACAAAAAUACAACAUGUUGAAGUGAUUCAUAACCAUCACACACAUUUUGUAAGUUCUUAAAUACACAUUUUCUGUAACGCU